UACAGAGACCCCAAGCGUUAUCCGGUUUUAUUGGGCGUAAAGCGUUCCGAUCGGUGGUUUUGUGUGUUUAGGGUUAAAGACCGCAGCUUAACUGCGUGUUUGCUCUAAAAACUACAUUACUUGAGGUAUGAAGAGGUAGCUGGAACUUUACAAGUAGGGGUGAAAUCCGUUGAUAUGUAAGGGAACACCUAAAGCGAAAGCAAGCUACUGGGCAUAUCCUGACACUGCUAGGACGAAAGCGUGGGUAGCAAUACGG
rnacentral:rRNA from 1 species